rnacentral:rRNA from 1 species
GUCGAGAAUAAUUCACAAUGGGGGCAACCCUGAUGGUGCAACGCCGCGUGGAGGAUGACGGUCUUCGGAUUGUAAACUCCUGUCAUCCGGGAGCAAGACCUGACGGUGAAGAUCCGGCAGGGUUGAUAGUACCGGAAGAGGAAGGGACGGCUAACUUCGUGCCAGCAGCCGCGGUAAUACGAAGGUCCCGAGCGUUGUUCGGAAUCACUGGGCGUAAAGGGAGCGUAGGCGGCGUGGCAAGUCAGACGUGAAAGCCCGGGGCUCAACCCCGGAACUGCGUCCGAUACUGCCGUGCUUUGAGGGUUGGAGAGGUAGCUGGAAUUCUUGGUGUAGCAGUGAAAUGCGUGGAGAUCAAGAGGAACACUCGUGGCGAAAGCGAGCUACUGGACAACACCUGACGCUGAGGCUCGAAGGCCAGGGUAGCGAAAGGGAUUAGAAACCCCGGUAGUCC